UUUUCGACGAUCUCCAAAAUCAGACCGUAUCCCGUAUCUUUUCACAUACCGAAUCUAUCGCGAGAAGUAUCGACGAUAUAACGCAAUGUCAAUUACAGGCGGCAGGGAGAAGCUGAAACAGAAAUAUAACAUGAUUAACGAAAAAUUAUAAUUUUCAGAAGAAGGACACU